rnacentral:lncRNA from 1 species
AUGGAUGGGAAAGGGCAAUGGAAGUGCAACCAAGUGAAGAGAUUAGAAGGGCAGUUACACAGAUCAUUCAGGCAGAGAAAUCAAAUGUGUCUGAAAUCCUGGAUGCCUCCUGCUGGCUCUGGCAAUGGGCAUGGACAGCCACACCUGCCCAGUGGGACAGCUAGCUUUAGAAACACCAUGGCUAAGGCAGCAUACCCCAGUGAAUUUGGUUACUGCCAAUGA